rnacentral:rRNA from 1 species
UACGUAGGGUGCAAGCGUUGUUCGGAAUUACUGGGCGUAAAGAGUGUGUAGGCGGUGCUCUAAGUCUGUUGUGAAAUCUCCCGGCUUAACUGGGAGGGUGCGGCGGAGACUGGAGUGCUAGAGUGUGGGAGAGGUAAGCGGAAUUCCUGGUGUAGCGGUGAAAUGCGUAGAUAUCAGGAGGAACACCUGUGGUGUAGACAGCUUACUGGACCACGACUGACGCUGAGACACGAAAGCGUGGGUAGCAAACAGG